GGCCCAGCCUCCGUGGUGACCCGCUUUGCACCAGAAGCAUUUCUCUCAAUCAGAGCCCGGAUCUGGCUGUCCAGCUCCAGGCUUUCACACCUGCCCAGGGGGACACGGGAAAGUCACAUUUUACAAAGGCCUUUCUGUUUAAAGAAAACAACCUGUUGGUGGCUCCAGCUGCAAUGUAGGCGGCUUGUAAAGGCGAUGUUAGGAGAAGCUUGAGAGAGAAGAGAUGAGGGUCGGGAAUCCACCCUUGCCCCUCCUUUCUGGAACUCCCCGGUUUUUAAAGUGACUAACACUGGGAAGUGACAAUCUGCCCUGUCACCCCAGUGAGCAAGCAGAGAGGACAGGGGAAGACACAUGAAUGAUUUGCAGGUAUAUUUGGAGCCCUCGUACGUUUAUUACUUGUUCAAAAGCAUCUGUACUUACAGGAGUCUCUAAAAAAUUACCUAAAGGAUGCAGCGUCUUUGAAUGCCUUUAUCACGCUCGUCCAGGGUUUGUUUAUUUAAAUUUUACUAGAUGAUUAGAGCCUAGGCAUUGUUAACUUGUAGAAUGCUGUCUGGGAGAAAAGAUAACCUCAAAGGUUAUGGUUUACUGCUGUGUAGGGCAGGUUUGUAUCUAAUCUAACCAUCUUAUUCUGACAUUCCUUUACUGAAUUGCCCCUAAGCACCCAGCUCUUCAAAUGCUCCUUGAAUGAGCCUUCUUAUCUUUCUGGAUACCUCAUUAAUGAAUGAGUUCAAUAAAAUCUUAGACAUAUCUUCAUUUCAUGUUUGCAUGAGGGUCAUGUUUUCAACUUUUUGCAAACUGUUAUGUUAAACACUUUGGACACUUAGAAGU